GGGGAUGUAAAGGUUUCGACGGGGACUGGAAGCCCUGGUAAGCGAGUAGCGGUGCGGGACCGCUAUAAAAUCCGCAAACUUAAAAUUAAACGACAACAAUACAGUUGCUGUUGCUGCUUAAUUAAGCAGCCGUUCUUACCCGUAGGACCGCGGACGGGAUAAGAGCGUCACUUAGCGGUGCACGUGAACGGGCCCACGCCUUUAAGCCCGUCAUGAUCUAAAGGCUACUGAUGCGCAAAGCCUGCUGUUCGGCGGUGCGCGGAGGGAAUGUCAAAAGAGCCGCUACACUCGUAGAAAGCCCCGGUAACCGGUUUUCGGACGCGGGUUCGAUUCCCGCCAUCUCCACCA
rnacentral:tmRNA from 1 species